UCAGCUUUCGACGGUAUGGUAUUGGCUUACCGUGGCAGUGACGGUUAACGGGGGAUUAGGGUUCGAUUCCGGAGAGGGAGCCUGAGAAACGGCUACCACAUCUAAGGAAGGCAGCAGGCGCGCAAAUUACCCAAUUCUAACAGCAUAAGAGAGGUAGUGACAAGAAAUAACAAUACAAGGUAAUUAAAUUGCUUUGUAAUUGGAAUGAUAGAAAUUUAAACACUUUUUAAAGUAUCAAUUGGAGGGCAAGUCUGGUGCCAGCAGCCGCGGUAAUUCCAGCUCCAAUAGCGUAUAUUAAAAUUGUUGCAGUUAAAAAGCUCGUAGUUGAAUUUCUGUUAAAAAUAACCGGUCUGCUUUUAUUAAAAGUGGUAUCUUGGUGUGUUUUUAGCAAUAAUGUCCUUUGAAAUGUUUUUUACUUUAUUGUAAUAAGUCAUUAUUUUGAGGAUUUUUACUUUGAGAAAAUUAGAGUGUUUCUAGCAGGCUUACGCUUUUGAAUACUGCAGCAUGGAAUAAUAAGAUAGGAUUUUAGUUCUACAUUAUUGGUUUUAAGAACUAAAUUAAUGAUUGAUAGGGAUAGUUGGGGGCAUUUGUAUUUAACUGUCAGAGGUGAAAU
rnacentral:rRNA from 1 species